CGGUAACAUUUCUAGCUUGCUAGAAGAUGACGAGUGGCGGACGGGUGAGUAAUACUUAGGAAUAUGCCUUUGUGUGGGGGAUAACUAUUGGAAACGAUAGCUAAUACCGCAUAACGUCUUCGGACCAAAGGGGGCUUCGGCUCCCGCGCAAAGAGUAGCCUAAGCGAGAUUAGCUUGUUGGUGAGGUAAAGGCUCACCAAGGCGACGAUCUCUAGCUGUUCUGAGAGGAAGAUCAGCCACACUGGAACUGAGACACGGUCCAGACUCCUACGGGAGGCAGCAGUGGGGAAUAUUGCACAAUGGGGGAAACCCUGAUGCAGCCAUGCCGCGUGUGUGAAGAAGGCCUUCGGGUUGUAAAGCACUUUCAGUUGUGAGGAAAGGUUAACGGUUAAUACCCGUUAGCUGUGACGUUAGCAACAGAAGAAGGACCGGCUAACUCCGUGCCAGCAGCCGCGGUAAUACGGAGGGUCCGAGCGUUAAUCGGAAUUACUGGGCGUAAAGCGCACGCAGGCGGUUUGUUAAGCUAGAUGUGAAAGCCCCGGGCUCAACCUGGGAAUAGCAUUUAGAACUGUAUGACUAGAGUCUUGGAGAGGGGAGUGGAAUUCCAGGUGUAGCGGUG
rnacentral:rRNA from 1 species